rnacentral:lncRNA from 1 species
AUGGGAAAGAAACCUGGAAAGGUAGGGAGGUAUGGAUAUGGACAAGCUAUGCCAAGGAGCAGGGCUUUGUCAUGGAGAGUGACUAGGUGCUUUUACAUAGGAAAGUCACCUGAUAAUAUUAAAACCUGUGAAAUAUCACUCUGGUGGAAGUGUGAAUGAAUUUGAAAGGGGUGUAACACUGUUCUACUUUGUUUACUCCUCAGUACCCUUGGCUGUGUACAUUUGAGUAAAGAGAGCACUAUAAAAUCAAAAACCAAUGAAAUGGUUUCCAGAACACAGAACUAUUAAGCUUAAGAAAAGGACAGAAGGAACUGAAGAGAGAGGAACUGUUUUGGAGCAUCACACUUCCACCUCAGAAGAAAUAAGGAAGGAAGGAGGAGGGUGUUCCCACGGCUCUUCAACCAGGCCGGCUCUUCAGCCUACAUCCCCAUCUCAUCAAGUAAAAGGGAUUUUUCAACUGGACCAACCAGAUGGUUUAACAGUGCACUCCCACACCAUUCAACUACGCAAGGGAGAUACACUUAACAUAUGCAGUCGUAUAACACCUACUAACAUUUUCAAACAUUAAACCUUUAAAAAAGAGUUCUAAAGAAAUAGAAGCUUGAAGUAUCAUCUCUCAAGUAUAUAGACACUACUUCAUGGUGUGGUAAUAUAUGCAUAUAGAAGCUAGUAAACACCUCCAGGAGAUGCAAAAGGAAUUAGAACUGCCACAAGGUGCAAGCAAAACCUUGAGUCUCCAUUGAUGGUGAAGUAUUUUCACUAUUUGGCAUGUCUUCUCUAGUACCUAGAGCAGUGCGUUGCAUGCAGUAGCAGGUUUAUAAACAUUUGCGAGUAAAACAUCCAACCUGAUACUCAAGAUAUUCUGCCCAAUCAGAGGCUAACAUCUGCCACAAGACAAAUAUGGUGCCUGCCCCCAUGGAGCUCAUAUUCGAAUGGAGAAAAUGUCAACAAGUAUCCCACGGAGUGAACACUUCAAAAGGAGAAGCACAGGUGAGAAAAUCGAAUUUGGACACCGUUGAGGAGACUAUUGCAGUCAUCCAAGCUCAAGAUGGUGGAGCUUCAUCCUUGAGAAUAACCAAUGGGGAUAGAUUUAAGAGACACUUAGAGUCUGCAGCCAACAGGGCUGAAUGAGCAGAGAGUUAUGAUUCAGAAGAUCAUCUAAAAUUGAACAGCUGCCACUACUGGCAAUAAGUCUACUGCCAUUUGGUAGAUAACCUUCUUAUCACACAGAAAAAUAUCAGUACAGACAAAUAGACCGCAAAGAAAAUGAGACCAUCAGCAAAGAAGAUAAAGAAGUUUGUACAAAGCAACUUUUUAUAAAUGGAUGGCUGUCAGGCAAAAAUAAAUUUCCUGUGGACAAGACCAAGAGCAAGGCAAGAGGAAAAUAAA